rnacentral:rRNA from 1 species
GUGGGGAAUAUUGCACAAUGGGGGGAACCCUGAUGCAGCGACGCCGCGUGGGUGAAGGAGUACUUCGGUACGUAAAGCCCUAUCAGCAGGAAAGAACAAAGUGCCCUAACGGGCGCUUGGACGGUACCUGACUAAGAAGCCCCGGCUAACUACGUGCCAGCAGCCGCGGUAAUACGUAGGGGGCAAGCGUUAUCCGGAUUUACUGGGUGUAAAGGGAGCGUAGACGGCAGUGCAAGUCCGGAGUGAAAGCCCGGGGCUCAACCCUGGGACUGCUCUGGAAACUGUAAAGCUGGAGUGCGGGAGGGGCAGGCGGAAUUCCUGGUGUAGCGGUGAAAUGCGUAGAUAUCAGGAGGAACACCGGCGGCGAAGGCGGCCUGCUGGACCGUAACUGACGUUGAGGCUCGAAAGCGUGGGGAGCAAACAGGA